GACGAACGCUGGCGGCGUGCUUAACACAUGCAAGUCGAACGAAGUGGCGAACGGGUGAGUAACGCGUAAUCAACCUGCCCUUCAGAGGGGGACAACAGUUGGAAACGACUGCUAAUACCGCAUAAUGAAGGAGGGGAUUGCGUCUGAUGAGGUAGUUGGGGGGGGAACGGCCCACCAAGGCGAUGAUCAGUAGCCGGUCUGAGAGGAUGAACUGCCACAUUGGGACUGAGACAAGGCCCAGACUCCUACGGGAGGCAGCAGUGGGGAAUCGUCCGCAAUGGACGAAAGUCUGACGGAGCAACGCCGCGGGAGUGAUGACGGCCUUCGGGUUGUAAAGAUCUGUUAAUCGGGACGCGGUACCGGAAUAGAAAGCCACGGCUAACUACGUGCCAGCCGCCGCGGUAAUAC
rnacentral:rRNA from 1 species